rnacentral:rRNA from 1 species
CUACGGGAGGCAGCAGUGAGGAAUUUUGCGCAAUGGGGGCAACCCUGACGCAGCAACGCCGCGUGAGUGAAGAAGGCCUUUGGGUCGUAAAGCUCUGUCGACAGGGAAGAAGUUAUAGAUAUCCAAUAGGUAUUUAUAUUGACGGUACCUGUAGAGGAAGCACCGGCUAACUCCGUGCCAGCAGCCGCGGUAAUACGGGGGGUGCAAGCGUUAUUCGGAAUUAUUGGGCGUAAAGGGCGCGUAGGCGGUCUUGUCGGUCAGGUGUGAAAGCCCGGGGCUCAACCCUGGACGUGCAUUUGAAACAGCAAGACUUGAGUACGGGAGAGGAAAGCGGAAUUCCUGGUGUAGAGGUGAAAUUCGUAGAUAUCAGGAGGAACACCGAUGGCGAAGGCAGCUUUCUGGACCGAUACUGACGCUGAGGCGCGAAGGCGUGGGUAGCGAACGGGAUUAGAUACCCCUGUAGUC